rnacentral:lncRNA from 1 species
UUUUUUUUUUUUUUUUUUUUUUUUUUUUUUUUGUAGAUGGAGCAGAAUUUUAACCCAUGGGAAUGGGAGAUAGUAGAACAAUUCCCUAUGAUCUUACCACGCUGAGACAUAAUGGGUGCACAUGCUAGUAGGAGACAGAAUUGUGAGAAACUGGUUUCAUGUGACAGCUCAAUAACACACCCUUUUCCUCAUAUUCCUUUCUUCCCUUCCUUACUCUGGUUGCUUUCCUAAUACUUCUCUAGGAUUCUAGUUCCCAAGUAAAUGGUAGGAUACAAGCCCUUGCCUCAGGCUUUGCUUCCUGGGACCCAGGCCAGAUAUUCCUGAGUUGGAACACAUGGGAGUAGGACAUGUUUUUAAGCUCCCCAGAUAAUUUUCAGGCACCCUACAAUCUGUGAACUCCUGGAUCUAGAAUGUCAAUCUAGUGCAAAGAACUCUAACCUCGGUGAUCUUUCCAUCUUAACAUAUGCUGGAUAAAAGAAAGACAAUGCUAUUGUUCUUAUCCUGGAGGGAUAAGAAACACCUGACUUACUGAAGAGGAGGGAGAGAAACACCUGACUUACUGAAUGACAUCUACCCCAUGCUUCAAGGGGCUGCUGAAUGGCUCCUGACACCUGACAAUACCUAUUCUUACAUAGUGCACCAACUCACCUGUCCAUUUGGGCAUCUGGCCCAGCCUGUCAUGCCUGCACUGAUUUGUGAUGUCUGAUAGGCUUCACUCUGUCUUCUUUCCUGGCUCACAAUCAGUCAGAUACACUUCUUGGAUAUGUUGUCCACAGUCAUCUCUCUCUCUCUCUCUCUCUCUCUCUUACCUCUCUCUCUCUCUCUCUCAUACAUUCUUAUCUUUUUUCUUUUCUUUCCUUCCUCUUUUCCUCUUUCUUCCAUAAACCACUCCAAUCCUAAAGACCCUAAUUACUGUCCAUUAGCUCUUUUUUGGGAAAAUAUCAUGUUAAAAAUAAUAAAAAUAAAAAAUAAACUUUAGACUUUUUCCCCCAAAAGUUAUCGAGAACCAGCAGUCUCUGAUGCUUUGCCAUAGCUGUUUUCACCCUUAAUGUUACAUCUUUGAAGCUGGAUUAAAAGGGACACUGCCAGCAAACAUCUUUGGAAAUGCUAUAAAUAGCAAACUUGCAAGAUCAGGGAACAAAAGAGAAGCACAGCCAGUAUAAUUAGUUCACUUACUGAGCAAGUUGACUAUUCCAAGGCUGAGGACAGUGUUCCAGCUGAUGAGACUGUGGGUUGAGGAGGAAAGGAAAAUCAACUACCUGCACAGGCUGAGAGAAGGCACACAUGCGAUAUCCAAGCCCCAUUGGUCCCCAUCCCAGUGUAUGAGAAGUAGCCCACAAAGGUAUGGGGAAGCAGGAGCCCAAGGACUGAGUAUAUAUGAAACAUGAGAAGGGAAUCAAGGAGUCUGAUGCCAUAAAGCAAAAAGAAACACAGGACACAAGGAAGACAAUGCAGGACCCAGGUCAUCACAGGGAGGGACUAAGAGAUGUUCUUGUUCAGUGUUUUCCAAAUAAUAAUGUUAAUAAUAUUAGCUAACAUUUAUUGAGUACUAAUUAAAAGCACAUUUAAUCCUCCCAAAAACUCCCUUAAAGAAAGUACUAUUAUAAUCUUCAUUGCACAGGAGGGGAAACUGAGGUAUAGAAAGAUUAGGUACUUUGCACAAGGUUACACCUCUAAUUGCAAACUUUUUGAAGAAAUGGGAUGUUUUUGUAUUUUAUAAACUCGGAACCCUAAUAAUGAAAACAGAUGAAAGCAGAGUGAUGGGAGAAAGGAUCCUGGACCACAGAAUUCCAGCAUCCCUCAGAGCUCAACUGGAAAAGCAUUCCCUAAGCACAAGUGGAGGACCAGAGGGGGGAAUAGCAUUGUCCAAGGUUACAAGAACCAGCUAACAAUGAAACUGGAAGACACAUGUCCUCUGGAGCCCAGCACACUGCUCCUUCCUGCACUGCACUUCCCAGUUGAAGGGCCACCUCACGAAAACUCCAUUUCUCUUUUGAGUCACCACUGAACUGAGAACUUGGUUCUGUGCAUGCAGCACCUACUACACCUUCUACCUCCUAAGUCACUUAUAAGGUCCUUGAGAGCAGACUAUGCCUGUUUAUUAACCUUUGUAGCUCCCUAAGGACUUGCACAAAACUAGCUUACAGCAGAAACUCCAUAAAGUUUAUUAGAUAAAUCGAUGUUUUGAUGGACAGAGGAGUGAAUGAAAAAAUAUGUAAGCACCUUUUAACAUGUUAUAAAAAAUAAUACCUUGGAGAAUACAAAGCAUUUCUGUGCCUCGUCAUCUUUAAUUUUCAGUGCCAACUGAGAAGGAAUAUUAAUAUUCC